ACGCUGGCGGCGUGCCUAAUACAUGCAAGUCGAACGCUUCUUUCCUCCCGAGUGCUUGCACUCAAUUGGAAAGAGGAGUGGCGGACGGGUGAGUAACACGUGGGUAACCUACCCAUCAGAGGGGGAUAACACUUGGAAACAGGUGCUAAUACCGCAUAACAGUUUAUGCCGCAUGGCAUAAGAGUGAAAGGCGCUUUCGGGUGUCGCUGAUGGAUGGACCCGCGGUGCAUUAGCUAGUUGGUGAGGUAACGGCUCACCAAGGCCACGAUGCAUAGCCGACCUGAGAGGGUGAUCGGCCACACUGGGACUGAGACACGGCCCAGACUCCUACGGGAGGCAGCAGUAGGGAAUCUUCGGCAAUGGACGAAAGUCUGACCGAGCAACGCCGCGUGAGUGAAGAAGGUUUUCGGAUCGUAAAACUCUGUUGUUAGAGAAGAACAAGGACGUUAGUAACUGAACGUCCCCUGACGGUAUCUAACCAGAAAGCCACGGCUAACUACGUGCCAGCAGCCGCGGUAAUACGUAGGUGGCAAGCGUUGUCCGGAUUUAUUGGGCGUAAAGCGAGCGCAGGCGGUUUCUUAAGUCUGAUGUGAAAGCCCCCGGCUCAACCGGGGAGGGUCAUUGGAAACUGGGAGACUUGAGUGCAGAAGAGGAGAGUGGAAUUCCAUGUGUAGCGGUGAAAUGCGUAGAUAUAUGGAGGAACACCAGUGGCGAAGGCGGCUCUCUGGUCUGUAACUGACGCUGAGGCUCGAAAG
rnacentral:rRNA from 1 species